AGGCUUAACACAUGCAAGUCGAACGAAGUUAGGGAGCUUGCUCCUGAUACUUAGUGGCGGACGGGUGAGUAAUGCUUAGGAAUCUGCCUAGUAGUGGGGGAUAACUAUCCGAAAGGAUAGCUAAUACCGCAUACGACCUACGGGUGAAAGGGGGCGUAAGCUCUCGCUAUUAGAUGAGCCUAAGUCGGAUUAGCUAGUUGGUGGGGUAAAGGCCUACCAAGGCGACGAUCUGUAGCUGGUCUGAGAGGAUGAUCAGCCACACUGGGACUGAGACACGGCCCAGACUCCUACGGGAGGCAGCAGUGGGGAAUAUUGGACAAUGGGCGAAAGCCUGAUCCAGCCAUGCCCGCGUGUGUGAAGAAGGCCUUUUGGUUGUAAAGCACUUUAAGUGGGGAGGAAAAGCUAAUAGCUAAUACCUAUUAGCCCUGACGUUACCCACAGAAUAAGCACCGGCUAACUCUGUGCCAGCAGCCGCGGUAAUACAGAGGGUGCAAGCGUUAAUCGGAAUUACUGGGCGUAAAGCGCGCGUAGGUGGUUACUUAAGUCAGAUGUGAAAGCCCCGGGCUUAACCUGGGAACUGCAUCUGAUACUGGGUAACUAGAGUAGGUGAGAGGGAAGUAGAAUUCCAGGUGUAGCGGUGAAAUGCGUAGAGAUCUGGAGGAAUACCGAUGGCGAAGGCAGCUUCCUGGCAUCAUACUGACACUGAGGUGCGAAAGCGUGGGUAGCAA
rnacentral:rRNA from 1 species